rnacentral:lncRNA from 1 species
AUGAAGGGGCAGGUCUGUUAUCUCCUGCAUCAUCAUCAGAGGGGUUACAGGAGGCAGGUCUGUUAUCUCCUGCAUCAUCAUCAGAGGGGUUACAGGAGGCAGGUCUGUUAUCUCCUGCAUCACCAUCAGAGGGGUUACAGGAGCAGGUCUGUACAACGAUUAUGUGUGGUGGUUUGUGUUGUGUGGGUAUGUGUGUAUGUAUAAUAUAGUGUGUGUGUGCUUGUAUAGUGUGUGGUAGGUGUGUAUGUAUAUAGUGUGUGGGUGUGUGUGGUAUGUGUUAUGUAUAUAUAGUGUGUCUGUGUGGGUGGGGUAUGUGUGUGUGUGUGUGGUUUGUGUAUAUGUACUGUAUAUAUAUAUAUAGUGUGUGUGUGUGUGCUUGUAUUGUGUGUGGUGUCUUUAUGGUGUCUUUUUACUGUAGUAUCACAGGUGCCAUAAACAGGUGGAGUGGAGGACAGAGUAUUUAGUCAGCCACCAAUUGUGCAAGUUCUCCCACUUAAAAAGAUGGAGAGGCCUGUAAUUUUCAUCAUAGGUACACUUCAACUAUGA